GCGGCGAAAGGGUGAGUAAUGCUUCGUUAAUGUACCCAUGGGACCGGGAUAAUUCCUGGAAACGGGUUGUAAUACCGGAUGAGACCCCAGGCACCACGGUGCCGGUGGUCAAAGGCAUGUUGCUUUCGGGCGCAUGCGCCGAUGGAGCGGACGAAGUCUGAUUAGCUUGUUGGUGGGGUCACGGCCUACCAAGGCGAUGAUCAGUAGCGGGCCUGAGAGGGUGGCCCGCCACACUGGGACUGAGACACUGCCCAGACUCCUACGGGAGGCUGCAGUCGCGAAUCAUUCACAAUGGACGGAAGUCUGAUGAUGCCACGCCGCGUGCGGGAAGAAGGCCUUCGGGUUGUAAACCGCUGUCGAGAGGGGGGAAGUAUUGACUGCCCUCUGGAGGAAGCCCCGGCUAAACACGUGCCAGCAGCCGCGGUAAUACGUGUGGGGCAAGCGUUGUUCGGAAUCACUGGGCUUAAAGGGUGCGUAGGCGGCCUAUCAAGUCAGGGGUGAAAUCCCGCGGCCCAACCGUGGAAUUGCCUUUGAUACUGGUGGGCUUGAGUGUGCCAGGGGUGAGCGGAACGUGUGGUGUAGCGGUGAAAUGCGUAGAUAUCACACGGAAGGCCGGAGCCGAAGGGGGCUCACUGGGGCACAACUGACGCUGAGGCACGAAAGCGUGGGGAAGCAAACCAGGAAUUAGAUACCCUGGUAGUCCACGCCGUAAACGAUGAGCACUAGGCGGUUGUCUUGUUAGGGAUGGCCGUUGGAGAGAAAUUGUUAAGUGCUACGACUGGGGAGUAUGGUCGCAAGGCUGAAACUCAAAGCGAAUUGACGGUGGCUUCACACAAAGCGGUGGAGGAUGUGGUUUAAUUCGAAGCAACGCGAAGAACCUUACCAGGUCUUGACAUGCUGGGAUCAACCGUGUGAAAGCACGGGGCUUGCCCAUACGGGUGUAACCAGCACAGGUGCUGCAUGGCUGUCGUCAGCUCGUGCCGUGAGGUGUUAGGUUAAGUCCUUNAACGAGCGAAACCCCUAUGAUUUGUUGCCAGCGGUUCGGCCGGGGACUCAAAUCAGACUGCCGGGUGUAACUAGGAGGAAGGUGGGGACGACGUCAAGUCAUCAUGGCCCUUAUGACCUGG
rnacentral:rRNA from 1 species